ACCGCAGACCGCCUUAUCGUCUCAAUUUAUUGAGGAGGAAAGUCCGGACACCAAAGAGUAGCAUAGCGGAUAACAUCCGUCAAUUCAAGAAAUUGAAUUAGGACAAGUGCAACAGAAAGCAGGUACAGUUCGGCUGUAGUGAAACCAGGUAAACUCUAUGCGGUGAAAUUCCAAGUAUAUCGGCAUUUAAGGAUUACUCGUCCGUUGUCGAAGGGUAGGAAGAUUGAUUCCGUGAGUAAUUGCGGAACUAGAUAAAUGAUAAGGGUUCGUUUCGGCGAAUACAGAAUCCGGCUUACAGGUCUGCUUUUUUG
rnacentral:RNase_P_RNA from 1 species